rnacentral:ncRNA from 1 species
GGCACCCAGAGACGAGGAAGGGCGUAGUAAGCGACGAAAUGCUUCGGGGAGUUGAAAAUAAGCGUAGAUCCGGAGAUUCCCGAAUAGGUCAACCUUUCGAACUGCUGCUGAAUCCAUGGGCAGACAAGAGACAACCUGGCGAACUGAAACAUCUUAGUAGCCGGAGGAAAAGAAAGCAAAAGCGAUUCCCGUAGUAGCGGCGAGCGAAAUGGGAGCAGCCUAAACCGUGAAAACGGGGUUGUGGGAGAGCAAUAAAAGCGUCGUGCUGCUAGGCGAAGCGGUGAAGUGCCGAACCAUGUUUUCCUUUGGAAUUUCACUCAUGUCUUUAAAAAUUCUUUAAAACGAAGGCAACGUUUAAUGUUUGGCAAUUUGGGGGAUC